CCAGACUCCUACGGGAGGCAGCAGUAGGGAAUCUUCGGCAAUGGACGAAAGUCUGACCGAGCAACGCCGCGUGAGUGAAGAAGGUUUUCGGAUCGUAAAACUCUGUUGGUAGAGAAGAACGUUGGUGAGAGUGGAAAGCUCAUCAAGUGACGGUAACUACCCAGAAAGGGACGGCUAACUACGUGCCAGCGGCCGCGGUAAUACGUAGGUCCCGAGCGUUGUCCGGAUUUAUUGGGCGUAAAGCGAGCGCAGGUGGUUUAUUAAGUCUGGUGUAAAAGGCAGUGGCUCAACCAUUGUAUGCAUUGGAAACUGGUAGACUUGAGUGCAGGAGAGGAGAGUGGAAUUCCAUGUGUAGCGGUGAAAUGCGUAGAUAUAUGGAGGAACACCGGUGGCGAAAGCGGCUCUCUGGCCUGUAACUGACACUGAGGCUCGAAAGCGUGGGGAGCAAACAGGAUUAGAUACCCUGGUAGUCCACGCCGUAAACGAUGAGUGCUAGAUGUAGGGAGCUAUAAGUUCUCUGUAUCGCAGCUAACGCAAUAAGCACUCCGCCUGGGGAGUACGACCGCAAGGUUGAAACUCAAAGGAAUUGACGGGGGCCCGCA
rnacentral:rRNA from 1 species